UGGGGAAUAUUGGACAAUGGGCGCAAGCCUGAUCCAGCAAUGCCGCGUGGGUGAAGAAGGUCUUCGGAUCGUAAAGCCCUUUCGACAGGGACGCGGUACCUGUAGAAGAAGCCCCGGCUAACUUCGUGCCAGCAGCCGCGGUAAUACGAAGGGGGCUAGCGUUACUCGGAAUUACUGGGCGUAAAGGGCGCGUAGGCGGCUUGGCCAGUCAGGCGUGAAAUUCCUGGGCUUAACCUGGGGACUGCGCUUGAUACUGCUGGGCUUGAGGCCGAGAGAGGGUGGUGGAAUUCCCAGUGUAGAGGUGAAAUUCGUAGAUAUUGGGAAGAACACCGGUGGCGAAGGCGACCACCUGGCUCGGUACUGACGCUGAGGCGCGACAGCGUGGGGAGCAAACAGGAUUAGAUACCCUAGUAGU
rnacentral:rRNA from 1 species